rnacentral:misc_RNA from 1 species
GUAGAAGCUCACAUCAAGGAAGCCUUGGCAAACCCAAUUCAAGAUACCUUGCCAUGCUGGUAGGAUGUGCCAGGUUAUUUAAAGUAGCAGGUUGGUUGUCAGUUGGCCUCAAUAAUGCUCAGACACAUACUCCAAGCACAAUGCCAUUGCAGUUUGCGGAUGCAACGUGGUACCAAAAAUGCAUUGGGCACACUAACAAUUGGUAAGUAACAUGGUUUUAUGCCCCUUUUAUUUGAUUAGGCUCCCUUCAAAUGGCAAUAAUCUGGAAAUGGAAUUUCCAUAUAGAUUCUGAAUAUGGAUGACACCAACUUAUUGAACAUAAAGGUAUCUAUCACCCAGGUUUGACAAGAUUAUCAAACAGAUGGUGAUGAGAUCAAAGGAAAAAAAACAAAAAGAAGAGAAAACUUAAAUCUACUAAUUAAGGCAUCUCUUUAGUUGGAAGCAGACUUCAGACCUUCAAUCCGACCUCUAUAAAAGGCAAGAUGUUCCCCUCUUGGAGGCAAGGAUUGCUUGACCACAUCUAUUUCACUCAUUUUCCCAAUCCAUUUGCUCAAGAAUGGAAAUUUGUUUUCACUGAUAAAAUCCGUCUGCCUAACUUCACGAGACACUUGGAACCAGUACAAUACAGCAAAUGCCACAAUGUCCAAGUAUCCGAUGCUCUCUCCUCCGAAGAAUUCCUGCCCUUUUAGCACCUUCUCAAGCAGCUUCAGAUUUUGAUCUAAUUCUUCGUUCUGCUGGUUUAUUACCUGCUUCCCUUUAGUCUGGACAGCCGAUUGCAAGAUCUGCAGGGGGAGAAAUUGUAAAAGUACCACUGAGACCAGCUGAAUGGAAAAACAUUUACAAGCCAGGAAGGAGAGUAAGACUGUGAGAGGAAGUGAUUGAUUUUACCUUUUCAUCUACGAAUUUUGCCCAGAAACGAGCAAUGGCUCUGUCGUUGGGGUUCUCAGGCAAAAUGGGAUUGUUUUUCCAGGUCUUAUCAAUGUACUCAAGAAUGACAAGAGAUUCUGCAAUUGGUUUUCCAUUGUGAACGAGCACAGGAAUUUUUUUAUGAACUGGGUUAUACUCGAGAAGCAAAGAGCUCUUAUUGGAGAAGUCUUCUUCAAUGUACUCAUACACGAUCCCUUUCAGUUUCAGGGCCAGACGUAUUCUGCAAUUGAAAGGACUAGCCCACAUUCCAAUUAGCUUCACUUCUUCUUCUGCCAUUUUGGAAUCUGCACCAUGCACCUUGUUUAGGGAUCCGUGAUUGUUGUGCGUACCUUUUAUAGACAACAUCCUGAUAAGCAAGUCCUGAACAUAGUUUGACAAUUCCGAAAUUCCUACUGGUUAGAAUUUGAAGAUAUCGACCUUUUUGACUUUUUCAGUUCUGGAAUUAUCAGUCAGAGCAUUUGAUAACACCACCUGCAAGCAGCGACUUCAUUUAUGGAUACAUCCAUAUGAAGGGAUAUUGCCGAAUUCUUCUUGCUACGAAUAUAUUGGCACAAGUUCGGCAGUCUUUGAAUCCAAGAAUAUGCGAAUUUGCCAUUGGGGAGGAUCUGAAGGUCCCUCAACACUGACAUUUUCCAUUUUUCUUUUACGGUUAAUGUAUUCUUCUGAUCUGAGGAC